UAGGCCUCCAUGAUAUCGACAAAUCAAAGAUAGCAAGCUUCACCGUCGUUUCUAUCGCUAAUAACUCCCAGAAGGGACAUGAAGUUCGUUUUUUCAGCGAUUCACGGCUAAGGGACGGACUCAAAUGGCUUGCGAGUAAUUCACCUCCGCAACCAAAUCUUCAGCACGUUAAACCGCGGGAACUUGUUCUGACGCAUUUAAGUUUUUCUCUAGAGUUGCUUAAGCAGAUGCGAGAUCAGGAAGUUUCUCCAUGCUGAUAAGGACUACAAAACAAAAUGCUCAAAACUUGUUCACAUGAAAAAGUCAAGAACCAUUGUGGAAGAUGUUUCUGCUCCAUCGAUAGAAGAAGAUGUUCCUGCUUCCUCUCCGUUGUCAUCCUUGUCGAUAGAAGCAAAUAAAGGAUAUCAACAGGAAACACCGCCUCCUCAAAGUCUUAAGAAACAAACAUCACUGCGUCUAGUUGAUAAAGAAAUGGCCGAUUCCAAGACUUCCCUCUUACUGGAGGAAGACAAGCCAGUGAAGACAUCUGUUAUAAAUCCAGUGCGGCCAUCUGAUGUAAAACCAGCAGUGGAUCAACAGAAAGGAAAUCACUUUACGCCGGCUGGUGAAUUUCAUUCUCCCCCGAAGUUCUAUUCUCCUGGAUUUCCUCAAGCUGAAUCCUUGAAUUUGAAGAAACAACCUAAUGACGGCCACACUAGUAUAUCUCCUGCGGAAAUUAAUUUUCCAUUUGCAGAGCAUAUGCAAACGAAUCUUGUGCCUGUACCUACUUUGCAACAAAGUCCGAAGUCUAUGCCUAUGGAGAAUGUGUCUGUAGCUACCAAAAUAGAGUCUCCAAGGAGUGUAGAAAACAUAUUCGCUUUGGAAGAAUCAGUACCUGAAGCUGCGAUGACUGUUACCUUGGAAGAGGGUUUCCAUGACAUUGAACAGGAAGACGAGGAUGGACAUGAGGACAUCACAAGUCAGUAUGACGAGGAAGUGGCGAAGGCCAAGCUCAAGUUGAUCAUAAGGUCUAGCAGUUCAUGCAAGUUGAUUCUUGGUUUAUGUUACUUUUUGUUUAACUUUUCUUUUCUAAAAUCUUCACAGAUUAUGGAAGCGGUGGUCUUCACGUCAAAGUGAAUUGCGGGAGCGUCGACAGUUAGCUGCAGCUGCUGCACUGAAUUCUCUAACCCUGGGCACUCCUAUCAGACUCAGCAAAACUGAUGUAAGUUUCAGUUUCCUUCCCUGUAACAUGUGCUGAUCAGUGUCAAGGAGGCAAUAAAAGUCUUUAAGGCAUUUACUAUUGAGGUUGGUAGUCUAAUUUGGUUCUCGCUUCAUAUACAGCAAUCGAGAGCGUGUGGUGAGUUUGACAUUGAUCAAGCGAUGAAGAGGAGAUUUGAAGAACGGGAAAAAUCAUGGUCAAAACUGAAUAUUUCAGAUGUGAUAGCUGAUAUAUUAGUCGAAAGGAAUCCAGACUCAAAAUGCAUAUGGUGGAAGGUCAUCCUAUGUACUCAGAUUAAAUCAGUUGACUCAUCAAGUCAGGAUACACAUGCAGCAGCCAGUAGAUGGUUAUCAUCAAAGCUUAUCCCUGACACAGAACAUAGCAUCUCCGAUGAUAAUCUGCUGUUUGCAGCUCCCGGUGUGUCGGUAUGGAAUAAAUGGGUUGCAAGUGGGUCUGAUUCUGAUUCCAGAUGCUGUCUCUCGGUAACUAGAGAUGUGGAAUCUGAUCAUGAUCCACGUGGUGCAAGCGCAGUUCUCUUCCUUGCAUCUAAAGGCAUCCCUUUGAAUCUCCAGAGAGAACAUCUUAACCGCAUUCUUGAAUCAGUACCCAACGGUUCACUCCUUCCCCUUCUCGUUCUAACCAGCUCAAGCAAUGGAGAAACCGUGGGUCCUGAUACAAAUCUCGUCUCUGAGCUAGGCCUCCAUGAUAUCGACAAAUCAAAGAUAGCAAGCUUCACCGUCGUUUCUAUCGCUAAUAACUCCCAGAAGGGACAUGAAGUUCGUUUUUUCAGCGAUUCACGGCUAAGGGACGGACUCAAAUGGCUUGCGAGUAAUUCACCUCCGCAACCAAAUCUUCAGCACGUUAAACCGCGGGAACUUGUUCUGACGCAUUUAAGUUUUUCUCUAGAGUUGCUUAAGCAGAUGCGAGAUCAGGAAGUUGGUCCUAACAUCUGCAUAUCAGCCUUCAACGACGC
rnacentral:lncRNA from 1 species